GAGGCUUAGCUCAGCUGGUGAGAGCGUUUGCUUGACAUGCAAGAGGUCACAGGUUCGAGUCCUGCAGUCUCC
rnacentral:tRNA from 1 species